rnacentral:rRNA from 1 species
AGAGUUUGAUCCUGGCUCAGAACGAACGCUGGCGGCAGGCUUAACACAUGCAAGUCGAGCGGCGCCUUCGGGUGCAGCGGCGGACGGGUGAGUAACGCGUGGGAACGUGCCCAGAGGUGCGGAAUAGCCCAGGGAAACUUGGAUUAAUACCGCAUACGCCCUUCGGGGGAAAGAUUUAUCGCCUUUGGAUCGGCCCGCGUUGGAUUAGGUAGUUGGUGGGGUAACGGCCUACCAAGCCGACGAUCCAUAGCUGGUUUGAGAGGAUGAUCAGCCACACUGGGACUGAGACACGGCCCAGACACCUACGGGUGGCAGC